AAGGAUGAAGGCCUAUGGGUUGUAACUUCUUUGUACGGAAAAACCCUCUACGUGUAGAGGGCUGAUUGUACCGUAAGAAUAAGGAUCGGCUAACUCCGUGC
rnacentral:rRNA from 1 species